GGGGACGACGUCAAGUCAGUAUGGCCCUUACGGCCAGGGCUGCACACGUACUACAAUGCCCAGUACAGAAGGAUCCUAGACCGCGAGGUGGAGGAAAUCACUAAAACUGGGCCCAGUUCAGAUUGAAGUCUGCAACUCGACUUCAUGAAGCCGGAAUCGCUAGUAAUGGCGCAUCAGCUACGGCGCCGUGAAUACGUUCCCGGGCCUUGUACACACCGCCCGUCACAUCAUGGAAGUCGCUUGUAGCCGAAGUCGGCGCGCUAACCGCAAGGAGGCAGCCGCCUACGCUAUGAGCGGUAACUGGGAUGAAGUCGUAACAAGGUAGCCGUAGGGGAACCUGCGGCUGGAUCACCUCCUUUCUAAGGAGUAAG
rnacentral:rRNA from 1 species